UCUCAAAGCCAUACUCAAAGGGUUGGUUAGC
rnacentral:piRNA from 1 species